UACAGAGGAUGCAAGCGUUAUCCGGAAUGAUUGGGCGUAAAGCGUCUGUAGGUGGCUUUUUAAGUCCGCCGUCAAAUCCCAGGGCUCAACUCUGGACAGGCGGUGGAAACUACCAAGCUUGAGUACGGUAGGGGCAGAGGGAAUUUCCGGUGGAGCGGUGAAAUGCGUAGAGAUCCGGAAGAACACCGGUGGCGAAGGCGGUCUGCUGGGCAGUAGCUGACACUGAGGCGCGACAGCGUGGGGAGCAAACAGGA
rnacentral:rRNA from 1 species